rnacentral:rRNA from 1 species
CAUUAGUACUAACUGCGUGAGCGGAACGAAAACAACAACACCUAAAAUGUGGAAUAUAGCAUAUAGUCGACAAGAGAAAUCUACGAAAAACAAACAAAACUUUCAACAACGGAUCUCUUGGUUCUCGCAUCGAUGAAGAGCGCAGCGAAAUGCGAUACCUAGUGUGAAUUGCAGCCAUCGUGAAUCAUCGAGUUCUUGAACGCACAUUGCGCCCCUCGGCAUUCCGGGGGGCAUGCCUGUUUGAGCGUCGUUUCCAUCUUGCGCGUGCGCAGAGUUGGGGGAGCGGAGCGGACGACGUGUAAAGAGCGUCGGAGCUGCGACUCGCCUGAAAGGGAGCGAAGCUGGCCGAGCGAACUAGACUUUUUUUCAGGGACGCUUGGCGGCCGAGAGCGAGUGUUGCGAGACAACAAAAAGCUCGACCUCAAAUCAGGUAGGAAUACCCGCUGAACUUAAGCAUAUCAAUAAGCGGAGGAAUAG